rnacentral:rRNA from 1 species
CACGUAGGGUGCGAGCGUUGUCCGGAAUUAUUGGGCGUAAAGAGCUCGUAGGCGGUGUGUCGCGUCGGCCGUGAAAACCUGCAGCUUAACUGUGGGCGUGCGGUCGAUACGGGCAUCACUGGAGUUCGGCAGGGGAGACUGGAAUUCCAGGUGUAGCGGUGAAAUGCGUAGAUAUCUGGAGGAACACCGGUGGCGAAGGCGACAUCCUGGACCGGUAUCGACGCUGAGGCGCGAAAGCCAGGGGAGCAAACGGG